CAAAAUAAAGCUUAAUAGGAAGUAUCUCGUUUACAUUGAGAAGAUUUUGUGCAAUUCAAAUAUUUUGA
rnacentral:tRNA from 1 species